UUAGGAUUUAAGAUUUAUCUAAGAUUUGGUUUAGGAUUUUGGAUUUGGCGAGAGUUUGAUUAGGGUUGAGUUUAAGAUUUAAGAUUUUUCUAGGAUUUGGUUUAGAAUUUAGGAUUUGUCUAGGAUAUGGUUUAGAAUUUAGAGUUGAUUAGAAUUUAAUUAGUAUUUGAUUUAGAAUUUAAGAUUUGGUUAAGAUUUGAUUUAGGAUUUAGGAUUUGUCUAGGAUUUGGAUUAGAAUUUAAGGUUUGGUUAGGAAUUUAGGAUUGGUUAGGAUUUGGUUAGGAUUUGGUUAGGAUUUGAUUUAAAGCUUAGAAUUUGGUUAGGAUUUGAUUUAGGAUUUAGGAUUUAUUUAGGAUUUGAUUUAGAAUUUAAAAUUUGACUAAGAUUUGAUUAGGGUUGGAUUUAGGAUUUAAGAUUUGUCUAAGAUUUUAUUGAAAUCCAUUAAGAUUUCAAUUAGGAUUAAAUUAGAAAUUCAUUGAGAUUUAUUUAAGAUAUAUUGUAAUUAUUUUA
rnacentral:lncRNA from 1 species